AUGCUCACUUUGGCAGCAUGCAUACUAAAACUGGAACGAUACAGAGAAGAUUAGCAUGGCCUCUGUGCAAGGAUGACACUCAAAUUCAUGAAGUGCUCCAUAUUUGU
ensembl:snRNA U6 U6 spliceosomal RNA